AUUGAACGCUGGCGGCAUGCUUUACACAUGCAAGUCGAACGGCAGCACGGACUUCGGUCUGGUGGCGAGUGGCGAACGGGUGAGUAAUACAUCGGAACGUACCCAGUAAUGGGGGAUAACUAUCCGAAAGGAUAGCUAAUACCGCAUACGCCCUACGGGGGAAAGAGGGGGAUCGCAAGACCUCUUGUUAUUGGAGCGGCCGAUGGCUGAUUAGCUAGUUGGUAGGGUAAAGGCCUACCAAGGCAACGAUCAGUAGCGGGUCUUAGAGGACGAUCAGCCACACUGGAACUGGGACACGGUCCAGACUCCUACGGGAGGCAGCAGUGGGGAAUCUUGGACAAUGGGCGCAAGCCUGAUCCAGCAAUGCCGCGUGCGUGAAGAAGGCCUUCGGGUUGUAAAGCGCUUUUGUCAGGGAGCAAAUCCUUGUGGCUAAUACCCACCGGGGAUGAGAGUACCUGAAGAAUAAGGACCGGCUAACUACGUGCCAGCCGCCGCCGUAAGAC
rnacentral:rRNA from 1 species